rnacentral:tRNA from 1 species
GGGAAUAUGGCUUAGUGGUAGAGCCCUUGCCUUGCACGCAUGAAACCCUGGGUUUGAUUCCCCAGUACCA